CCCACAAGGAUGCUGCUCACUAAUUUGCC
rnacentral:piRNA from 1 species